UGGGUGCAGCAACCUUCGGGAGUUCCCAA
rnacentral:piRNA from 1 species